GGGGAUAACAGGCUUAUCUCCCCCAAGAGUCCACAUCGACGGGGAGGUUUGGCACCUCGAUGUCGGCUCAUCGCAUCCUGGGGCUGUAGUCGGUCCCAAGGGUUGGGCUGUUCGCCCAUUAAAGCGGUACGCGAGCUGGGUUCAGAACGUCGUGAGACAGUUCGGUCCCUAUCCGUCGUGGGCGCAGGAAAUUUGAGAGGAGCUGUCCUUAGUACGAGAGGACCGGGAUGGACGCACCGCUGGUGUACCAGUUGUCUUGCCAAAGGCAUCGCUGGGUAGCUAUGUGCGGAAGGGAUAAGUGCUGAAAGCAUCUAAGCAUGAAGCCCCCCUCGAGAUGAGAUUUCCCAUAGCGUCAAGCUAGUAAGAUCCCUGAAAGAUGAUCAGGUUGAUAGGUCAGAGGUGGAAGCGUGGCGACAUGUGGAGCUGACUGAUACUAAUCGAUCGAGGACUUAACCAA
rnacentral:ncRNA from 1 species